rnacentral:tRNA from 1 species
AUCUUUUUAGUAUAUAAAGUACAUUUGGCUUCCAACCAGAAAGACUAACUCAUUAGAAAAGUUA